AAUGACCCUGAACAGCCUCACCUGGGACUCUUAACCACUCCACCCAUGAUUCUGGGAGUUCUAUAGCAUCUCUGGCUGGAACAUCUGCCUUAGUCUAACCUGUAAUGAAUGAGAGCUGCUCUGAAAAUGGCAGCAUGCUGACAAAAUGGGAGCUGACACAGAAGUGGGGAUGGAGCAAAGAAUUUGGUAGCUUACUUUUAAUAACAUUAAAAAAAGAAGCAUUAAGUUUAAAAAAUAAGGACACCUGAUGUGGAAAUCAUCUGUAGGCGAUAAAUAUGGAAUGUGACAACUGUUUUCAGAGUGAAAUCACUUUGAAGAUCAUCAUGAAAAAGCUUCAUCAGAGCUUCAUCAAUGAAAAAGGACUGGGAUAAUCUCUAAAGGAUAAUAUAGAAAAAAGAAAGCAUGGGCUGUAACACAGCAAGGUAGACUUGGUCUGAGUUCUGACAUCUUGACAAAGAAAGCAGAAUGACUCUAAGUAUGUUCAAGUAUAUUUUAGUGCCUUUGUGAGUGCGUCUUGCAGCUGAGAUACAUUGUUUCUAGUCAAACAUGAGGAUUAGUCUCUAGAUUUUCUAUAGACCUCCUUUUCAUGCAUGCUUUCACCAAGUCUGUUUCCACGACUUUUUUUUUUAACUGAGAGGUUUGAUGCCUUGAGGAACUGUCAUAAGAUGGAUAUAGUUGUUUUUCAUGUAUUACUAAUCUUGCUACAUUAGAAAUACCCAAAUAUAGUUUUUAAACAUUUUGAACCAAAAAACAGGCAAAGCUCAGUGUAAAACUUUCAGAUGUCAACUUUGCACCAAAUUUUUUGCCUCUUGUGGAUGUACUCUGGAUCUUGAUGUGAUUGCUUAUGUUUUAUAGGAGUAUAUGUUGAUUACAUACUACCUUUUGUAAUGAAUUUUCUUCUAAGAUCUUAAAAAAAAAAAUUACAUUAGAAUUGGGUUGUACAAAUCUUGCUCUUUUCCAUAACACUGCAAAAACAAUUUGAUUGUAUAAAUGUUGUAGUUUACUAUUUUCUAGUUUCUAUUAGAUGUCUUGUAUCUUGAGGUUGUCCUUUAAUGUCUGCUUCUUCUUCCCCUGUACCCAGCCAACCUUCAUAUGUACUUCUUACAGCUACUUUUCAGUCCUCAUGUUAAUUCAUAUUUACAUGUUGAAGUUGGCUAACCUUUUCCAUUUGCUAACUUGCUAACCAUCCAGCAGCUCUCAUUGGAUUCUGAGUAAUCAAGUCUUCAAAAAGAUCAGUUUACAUCUCUUACAUCCUGUGAAUAUAGAUUUAAGAAGUGGAAUUCUGAAAACCUUCACAAACACAUACAUUGAAGGUUUUGAGACAGAAAAAGGUUUUCCAAAAGCAUCUGUUUUCUGGGUUGUUUUCAAGAGGUCCUCUCCUGACCCAACACUCUGUUCAUGUAUGCUUCAGUUACUGCAAAUACUGUGUAAAGUUUUACUGCAAACUCUUCUGCUGUGUAUAAUACCUGAAGUAAGAAGCAGGAUUUUGCUGUUAAAUUCAUAAAACUUUUAUGUAAGAGGAAAAAGUAGACUGCCAGUAUAAAGAAAUGGUGUUAGGGGUGAGCAUUGUGUGCUUGUAAGCUAUGCAAGAUGCAUGUGGUCUAUUGCAAUGAGUUCACAGAGCCCUGAGCUAGUGCUGCUCCUGCCAGAACAUCUGUUCUGGCUGGGAGCAUCUAUAAGGAAUGCAACUACCCUGUUCGUCACAAGGUCAAACAUGCUUUCUUAAACCAAAAUGAUUUUUGACAAGAUGGAACACAAUUUGACCAGUUGUUGUACACUGAAAUUUUAAAUUAUGCACAUACUGUGUAUGACAGAUUUAUUUGAAG
ensembl:lncRNA